GGCAAAGGGAGUAAAUCUGCACUGCCAGGCUCGUGCUACCCAUGUUCCAGGAAUAGGAGGUGGCUACCAAGCACAGGGCUUUUGUGCAGCACAUGCGAAAUAAAAGGAGAGCUCUGCAAACAUGCAACGAGCCAACAUUAGUUUCAGUCACAGAGGAUAAGGAGCACUCACCAAUCUGUGAGCAGGCUGGGCGGGUGACAUGCACCACUUGAAGAACAGAAGGAAAACAACCUUCAAGCAUCUUCAUUUCAUCUUGGGAACCAAGCCCCCUAAGCUGAACUCCUGUAAAGAGACCUUCUGACAUCACUGCAACUCUUUCUGAGAGGAGGAAUCAGCCACAAGGAAGCUAGAACUGAACAUACUUUCUGGUAGCACUGGGUUUGCAUUUAUACAUUUGGGUUGAAAGCUUGCUGUGGUGUUCCUGAUAUGCUCUAACAAGUACCAGGUUCACAAUGAAGACUGGAAAGUACACAUGGUUACACAAAAACAGAAUAAAGGUGUGAUGAGGACAAGUUGAAAGCAGCAGAAGAGACUACAGGUGAAUAAGCAAAGGUCUCUAUCCCUGGGGCUCAUCUGCUUUGGAACUUACAACAGGAAGAGAGCCAAGUAUUUGGUCAUUAUCAGUGAUUUAUGAAACCCACAUUUUUUUUCCAGUUCAUCUCUGUUUGAUUUCUCUUCUUGCAAUGAAAUCACAGUCUUUUACCACUAACCUGCCUGUGUAAUUAUCAGGUUAUGAAAACAGACUAUAGAUGAAAGUGAAAUGGAAAAAGAGAAAUAAAUGUGCUGGUUGCAUAAGUGCUGUCAACAAAUAACUGAUAGUUUUCAUUUUUACCAGAAAAAAAAAAUAAUGCAAAAGGCUCCCCCACUGUGUGAAGAGUGUUCUUUAAAAAAGUUUGCUAAUUUUAGCAUCGCCUAUAUCAGGAAUUCUAUUAUGUUUCUAUUUACUACUUGUCAAGAAAUAUAAUACAAAGAUGAAUUUUCAUUCCAUUACUUUUUUUUGUCUCAUUACAUAUUGUUUACAAACAAAUUAUACAGUACAACCUUUUUAUAAGAAGACUUAAUCCCAAAGAAGAUAUAAAGCAUGCAUAGACUAAAUAUACAGCAGUUUUGUAUGAAGUUGCAAAUACUGACAAGUAUACUUGAAUAUCUUGAAAACAGAAGGCAAACAUAAAUAAUCUUGGUCAUGUUAUUAGUGUUUGUAGCAAUUGGACAGAUCAAAAUGAUGGGAAAAGGUGUUUCACCAGAGGUGUAAUGACAGAAGGAUCAGCACAAUAUAAAGGUGCUCUAAAGGAACAGAAGAAGAUUGCUUAUCCAUAUCAGAUUUCAGGUUUACAGGGAAAAAGCUCCAACAAGGAGGGAUUUCCAGAAAGAGAUCACUCCCCAGUGCCAGUCAGCCCUUAAAUGGGAUCUAGGAGAGUUGGAGCCAGGCUCCACCCCUUCUGGUCACACAGAUUAAUUGCCUUCACCUGUGCUCUCAGGGCUGACCUGGUCCUUUCCCCAGGUGAUCAAUCAGUGGUUCAGGCUGUGACUCAACAGUUACCAUGCAGUGUCAUUUUGCAGAGCAGAACUGUAUUUCAGAAGAAGCCUUCUCGAUACCUGGUGGACAAUUUGGAGGAAAAGAAAAAAAGGAAUAUUUAUUGUUACAAAAGAAGUUUCACUUAUUGCAAAUAUUCUCCAAGUAACAUACACUUUCUUCCGUCUAUUUUUCCAUUAAAUUAAGCAUAUUAUUCUUUCAGUUGCACCUCUACCUACCUAAACACUGUUUCAGUGAUUCAGCACCAAGAGUAGAUAAAGUGAUAUGGACUUAAACACUAAUUUGCUGCCAUCUCAGUUCAUACUGCAUUACUAGGCAUUAGAUACACAGCCAUGAGGAAGUAGGAACCUUUAGGUGGAAUUCAGCAUGACAUGAGGUUGAAAAGACUGGGAUAGAAAUGGAAGAGCCAACAAAAACUCUUAUUUUUCUGCAUUUUUCAGCUAAACUAAUAUCUUGGGACCACUAGAAAAUCAAAGGUAAUCAUUAGAUAUGAAAGCAAAACAUGAACAUCUGGAUUAAAUAUUGAUACACACAGACGACCAGGAUAAAAUUUUCAUUACUUGUAAAGGAGCCGAUAUAUUACCUUGGUGUUCAUGCUUUGUGGAGAAGAAUUGUUGUGGCAAUGUGUUCUGUAUUAUAUGGAUAACUAAUGUGAUAUGGGUCAAGGAAUUGCUCUAUGUUGUACUUAGACAAUAACAGAAGUUUUUGGACUGAAAAUCGAUGUAAGAAGGACCAGACUUUACAAUUGCAUAAAGACAGAAAUGAUUUGAGAUCUGUGCCCAUUUCUGAAUCUGUUUUCAGCCUUGAGCUGCUCUACUUCUUUCUCUUGUUUUGACAUUUUCUCUUGGGGAUUGCCAUAAAUUAGAUAUCCUGGUGUUAAUUUUAGCCAAAGGACAUGAGAAAAGAUGUAAAUUGUCAUAAAGUAGGUAAUUAUGCCUCAUGUAUUCCCUGAUUAUUCCUUUUUAAUUGAAUGGUCUAGCUGAAGGAAAGACUGUAGUAAAUGGAAUAAAAAACCAUAAUACUCUGCACAUGUAUUUACACUUUGCAUCUUUGAAGUGUUACAGAAAUUAGCUAAUCAAUAUAACAAAGUUUCAAAUGCCUUUUUUUGUUGUUGUUGUUAUGGGACAUAUUAAUGAAAGAGAGUGUCAGCACAGAAAUAUUGGAAAUAAUAGAAAAUGAUGUGAAGAUCUCAUGUAAAGUCAGCGUGGAAUAAACAUUCUCUGGGUUAUUUUUGGUUUUGUUUCAAUUUAGCUAACAAAAAUUCCCAAGCAAACAAAUACGAAUCCAGAGCACUCAUGUAUUAUAUGGAAAGGAACAUGCAGGUUUGAUGUCAGUAUUAAGAACACAGAUCAUUCACUGUUAAUUAUGUUGUUUGUUGCUGUUGUUGUUGUAUUUUUUUGUUAGUUUUGCCUUUAUUAUUUGUUAACUCUUUGUCUAUGUAUCUUUUCUACAAAUUGUCAUUUCUUACUAGGGCCUCAAACCUGGUAUGGGUCAGGAUGUUUUCUUUUCAUUUGGGACCACGAAGGUACCUUAUGUGUACCUUUACACUGCAUCCUGAUAAUUAUUGAAGGGGAAAAUUCUCUGUAGAGAAUUUGUACAGAACUAUUGUGUCAUCAAUAACAUGGGCAACAUACUGUUGCUCUCAUAUAAAAUUCCUGCUUAUGUCAAUGAGAGAUUUGGGCUUAACUGAAUUAGCAUUCAGUCGGAAACUCUUGCUUUAACUGUUUUCCUGUUCACUAAAUUCCAUACAAGUUUUGUGAUUGUUCAAUAGGCUUCACUGUAGUUUCUGUUCUUUGUCCUGCAUUUAUAUUUUGGACUUUCAAAUUUACCAUAGAAAGCUUCUAUAAAUAUGUAACAACUAUUUCGAUUUUGUCACAUUUAAACCACUUUGUGGUCACUUUGGUAUGCAGAAAGCAGAGUGGAGCAAUGACUCUAGGCUUGCUUGCAGAAUAAGAAAGUGUAUAUGAGUAAGAAAUUUAGGCUUACGUCCUUAUGUCAGUUGUACAGGCGCAUAUUUAAAUAAAGUCUAUAGUAUCAUUUGCAUUUCUGUGAUUUACCCACUUGAUCCUACACUGUUUGUGUCUUUUAAAAUUGGCCAUCAUUGAAACACAUAUCUGAUAAUGAGUUACACUG
ensembl:lncRNA